UCCCUGGUGGUCCAGUGGUUAGGACUCUGCACUUUCACUGCUGAGGAGGCAGGUUCAGUCCCUGGUAGGGGAA
rnacentral:tRNA from 1 species